CACGUAGGGCGCAAGCGUUGUCCGGAAUUAUUGGGCGUAAAGAGCUCGUAGGCGGUCUGUUGCGUCCGCUGUGAAAACUCGGGGCUUAACCCCGAGCCUGCAGUGGAUACGGGCAGACUAGAGGUAGGUAGGGGAGAAUGGAAUUCCCGGUGUAGCGGUGAAAUGCGCAGAUAUCGGGAGGAACACCGGUGGCGAAGGCGGUUCUCUGGGCAAUAACUGACGCUGAGGAGCGAAAGCGUGGGGAGCGAACAGG
rnacentral:rRNA from 1 species